rnacentral:lncRNA from 1 species
UGAAUUGGGAUUAGGAUUGGGAUUAGGAUUGGGAUUAGGAUUGGAUUGGGAAUUGGCAAUGGGAUUAAGGGGAUUAAUGGGCAUUGGGAUUAGAGAUUGCGUAGUAGAUAAGGAUGGGAUAUAAUGGGAUGGGAGUAGGAAGAUGCUAUAAUGGGAUCUUUGCCCCCAGCCCCAUAUAGGUGACCCUAUAGACCCACAUCUCAGCGGUGAUGUACUGCAGCCUCUUGCUGACGGUGACUCGGGCGUCGUCCAUGUCCUGUCGGACCAGAACCGGCCCCAGCAGCUUAAAGAUGGUGUUGGACGAGUCCAGCAGGGACAGCUCCUAUAGGGGGAUAUGGGGGGUAAGUGGGGGGGGGGAGGGGUCUUUUGGGGGGUCUGGAGGGGUCCUUUUGGGGGCUCUUUGGGGGGAUAAAAUGGGGGUUCAAUGGGGUGAUAUGGGGGGGAAUAUGUGGGGGGAGGGGUCCUUGUGGAGGGGUCUAAGGGGUCUUGGUAUCAAGGUGGGUCUUAAGAGGGUACUAUGAGGGGGUCUUGGGGGGGCUCGAGGGGGGUCGGAGGGGUCUUUGAUGGGGAUACAGAAUGGGGGAUGUGGGGGUCUGAUGGGGGUCUUUGGGGGGAUAAAAUGGGGGUUAAUGGGGGGGAUAUGGGGGGGGAGGGGUCUUUGGGGGGGUCUUUGGGGAGGGGCUGUGGGGGUCCCAGGGGGAUUUUUGGCAGGGGUCUUAAGGGGGAUUUGGGGGUCUUUGGGGGUCCUUUGGGGGUCUUGAGGGGGAUAUUGGGGGGGGAUAUGGGGCGAGAGGGGUUUUGGAGGGGUUCUGAGGAGGAUCUUUGGGGGUCUAAGGGGUUUGGGGUCUUGGGGGUUUUUGGGGGGAUAAAAAUGGGGGUUAUAUGGGGGGGAUAUGGGCGAGGGAGGGGUCUUUGGGGGGGUCUUUGGGGGUCCAGCGCGUGGCCGCAUCCCCCACCCCCUCAGCCAACAGGGAACAGGCCGCCCCCCCUAGCAGCGGCGCCCAGGGGCUGUGAGGAGCCUGGAGGCGCAUGGCCUGGGGGGGGAGAAAAAUGGGGGUGCAAUGGGGGGGAUAUGGAGGGAUAUGGGGGGGGAGGGGUCUUUUGG